rnacentral:rRNA from 1 species
GAUGAACGCUGACAGAAUGCUUAACACAUGCAAGUCAGCUUGAACUUCGGUUUGGGUGGCGGACGGGUGAGUAACGCGUAAAGAACUUGCCUCACAGUUAGGGACAACAUUUGGAAACGAAUGCUAAUACCUGAUAUUAUGAUUUUAGGGCAUCCUAGAAUUAUGAAAGCUAUAUGCGCUGUGAGAGAGCUUUGCGUCCCAUUAGCUAGUUGGAGAGGUAACGGCUCACCAAGGCGAUGAUGGGUAGCCGGCCUGAGAGGGUGAACGGCCACAAGGGGACUGAGACACGGCCCUUACUCCUACGGGAGGCAGCAGUGGGGAAUAUUGGACAAUGGACCAAGAGUCUGAUCCAGCAAUUCUGUGUGCACGAUGAAGUUUUUCGGAAUGUAAAGUGCUUUCAGUUGGGAAGAAAAAAAUGACGGUACCAACAGAAGAAGUGACGGCUAAAUACGUGCCAGCAGCCGCGGUAAUACGUAUGUCACAAGCGUUAUCCGGAUUUAUUGGGCGUAAAGCGCGUCUAGGUGGUUAUAUAAGUCUGAUGUGAAAAUGCAGGGCUCAACUCUGUAUUGCGUUGGAAACUGUGUAACUAGAGUACUGGAGAGGUAAGCGGAACUACAAGUGUAGAGGUGAAAUUCGUAGAUAUUUGUAGGAAUGCCGAUGGGGAAGCCAGCUUACUGGACAGAUACUGACGCUGAAGCGCGAAAGCGUGGGUAGCAAACAGG